AUCUUUCAUUUCGGCGCUCCUCAACUCUUAUCUCUAGAUUCGGUAUCUUGUUCUUUAGCUCCAUCAUCGUAACAUCAUCAUCAUCAUCAUCAAAAUCUCUAUCUUCUUCCAAUUUUAUCUUGAAUUUUAGUCUUAUUAUCAGUUAUGGCUAAUGCAAAGAAGAAGAUCAAUCGUUCUUCUUCCUCAGAUCACCAAAAAUGGCAAGUAAUAUUCAAUGCUCUCAAACAAAUGCUUCGAAAACAAGCAGAACAACUCGAUUCUCUGCUUGAUCAACGCGCAUUCCUUCAAGAACGCAUGCAACGUCUGCUAAAACGGUGGAAUUCUGAUGUUAUUAUGUUUCAAGAUAUGAUUUCUCAGACGCAGAGACAAUUGCCAUUAUCUGAAAUGGCGAGAUUGGUUGAGAUUUCUAGGGCUGAUUUUUUUGUGGCUGCCAAGGAGCGAAAUGCGUUGUUUAAUAAGCUCAAAUUUGAACAUGCACAGAGUGAAUUAGAUGAUUUUAAAGCCUGGUUUGACAUCCUCUCUCAUAGAUGUCCUGAUAAAGAGGAUAUGAAUAUCUCUUUUGAUGGGUUAUAUGAAAGCCUGAAAGCGAAAGUUGGUAGUCCAAAUUUGUCAAAGGAGAGAUCUAAGAGUCAUUCUGAGCUUCAGAAAGAAGUGGCAAUGCUCAAACAUGAUUAUGAGAACCUUUCUGUGAAACAUAAGUUUGAUUUGACUUCCCUUCAGAAGGAGAAUACAUUUGUUUGGAAUCAAUACAAAGCAAUGGAGGCUAGUUACACCAAUCAACUGCAGACUAAGAAUGAUGAAAUCAAACAAGCAAAUGAGAAGAUUAGGAGUCUGCUCACAAAUGUGGAACAAUUGCAAUCAGCAGGCAUUGAAAAGGAUGAGACAGUCACAACUUUGAGAGCCAACAUCAUUAAGUUGGAGGCUGUUGCGAAUAAUAAAGAUGAAGAAAUCUCCAAACUUAAAAAUGAAUUAGAGCUGUUAAAAUCUAAAAUCACCGAUUUUGCAAGUGAACGUUCAACUUCUGGUAUGAAAGGUAAAAGGCAGAGUUCUGUGCUGGAGGAAAAGGCCACUUCUGCGCAGCUGCAGGUUACAAUCUGUGCUCUAAGAGCAAAAAUUAGCGAGUUGGAAGCUGAAGCAAACCAAAAAAGUGAAGAAAUUUCCACACUGUCAAAGAAAAUAAAGUGGCCAAGAUCUAAAAACUCAGCUGAUAUGCCUGUGUUGAGGCGCUGCAAUAAUAAACAAUCCUCUUCUAGGUCUAGCGGAAGAGGUAAUGGCAGACUUCAAGGGACUACUUCAGAGGAGGAAGCAGCAUGUUUUACACAGCCACAGGGUACAGCUGCUACUCUAAGAAGUAAAAUCAGUGAGUUGGAGGCUGAGGCUGAGGCAGACCAGAGAAACGGGGAGAUAUUCAAUCUAUCAAAGGAAUUAGAAUUGCUUAGAUCUACAAGUCCUGCUGAUGCAUCUGCAUCAAGACGUUGCUCAGUUCGACUUUCUUCUUCUCGGUCCAGUGGAAGAGAAAAUGUAAAGGACGAAACAAAUUCUGUUGGGCUGGUCUCCAAGCAACUCACACAACCAGUUUGUUAAUGCGCUGUUCCAAAUGAGGGGAGCUUUAUGGUUGGUGUUCAUCCAUUUCAUGGUGUUCAGUAAGAGAAAUUCAAGAAUUGUUAUGCUUUACGAAAGAGCGGAGCAUUAUGAUGCGAUAAGAGACAUAACUAGUGAUACAAUGAGGCUUGUUGGUAAUUCUAGGUGAAAAACUGGCAAGUGGUGGUAGUGAUGAUGACUGCAUGCUGCUCAUAAGUGGGUAACGCCUGCAGCCCUGUAGCAAGGACACUGGAGUAAUUUUAUAAAGUAUGCGUGAAAGAGGCCUGAUAUAUAAAUAGGAGAAUCAACGUCAAGCACAAGAGUGAUAGUUGUAAAGUUUGUUUGCUGAGCCAUCUUAAAAAUUGCAAAAAAAUGCUGGAUAACUCGACAUACCUCCUGAGUACUGAGCCAUCUUAGAAGUUACCAGAACUUCUGGGGAACUUGACAUACCUCCUAAUUAAUUAUACCAAGAAGCUUUGAAUAGAAUACAUGAGGAAAGAUUGGCAUUUGGCAGCUUCACUUAUAAUGGCAUGCAGCCCAUGGACGACUGGGAAUAAUUUUAUACUCCCUCUGUCCUCUUGAAAUUGCUGGUUUUACCUCCUUCAGAUGUCCUCAUAAGAUUUUCCCGUUUCCAUGAUGGGUGUACGGUGGUCCAAGAGAAAACAAGAUAAAAUUAUCGAUGUAGAAGACACACCAAGGUUAUUUACAUCCCAGUUUAAGAUCCCUAAAUUGAGGAGCAAAUCUCCUCAUAGAAGAUAGCACCUCCUCGUCUCA